UUCAAACGUCCAACACAAGGACGAAAGCGCGCUACAAAAAAAAAAUCCGAAAUUUUGAUCUAGCACUUCUAGUUGGCAUAAAAAUUGUCUCUAGAAAGAUGCUCGAUUCGUACCAUACAAGUCGUAUAAGCCGAGAACCUAUCGCAAACUUUAAAUCGGUACGAAUCAGAUAAAAAUCGUAACAGGAAAACCGAUAGCCGGCUAGUCACCGCACAAACCUUAAAACCGAGAGUAAACCUAUGUCUUGCCCUAAACCCAUCGC
rnacentral:lncRNA from 1 species